rnacentral:rRNA from 1 species
UACGGGGGGGCAAGCGUUGUUCGGAAUUACUGGGCGUAAAGCGCGCGCAGGCGGUUCUUCAAGUCAGAGGUGAAAGCCCAGAGCUCAACUCUGGAAUGGCCUUUGAGACUAGAGAACUAGGGUAUGGGAGAGGUGAGUGGAAUUCCGAGUGUGGAGGUGAAAUUCGUAGAUAUUCGGAAGAACACCAGUGGCGAAGGCGGCUCACUGGCCCAUUACCGACGCUCAGGCGCGACAGCGUGGGGAGCAAACAGG